UACGUAGGCAGCGAGCGUUGUUCGGAGUUACUGGGCGUAAAGGGUGUGUAGGCGGUUCUUUUAAGUUUGGUGUGAAAUCUCCCGGCUCAACCGGGAGGGUGCGUCGAAUACUGAGGGACUAGAGUGCGGGAGAGGAAAGUGGAAUUCCUGGUGUAGCGGUGAAAUGCGUAGAUAUCAGGAGGAACACCGGUGGUGUAGACGGCUUUCUGGACCGUAACUGACGCUGAGGCGCGAAAGCGUGGGGAGCGAACAGG
rnacentral:rRNA from 1 species